AGAGUUUGAUCCUGGCUCAGAAUCAACGCUGGCGGCGCGCUUAACACAUGCAAGUCGCACGAGAAAGUGGAGCAAUCCAUGAGUACAGUGGCGUACGGGUGAGUAACACGUGGAUCAUCUACCUCUUAGUGGGGAAUAACCCUGGGAAACCGGGGCUAAUACCGCAUAAGCUCGAGAGAGGAAAGCAGCAAUGCGCUGAGAGAGGAGUCCGCGGCCGAUUAGCUAGUUGGCAGGGUAAAAGCCUACCAAGGCAAAGAUCGGUAGCCGGCCCGAGAGGGCACACGGCCACACUGGCACUGAAACACGGGCCAGACUCCUACGGGAGGCAGCAGUGGGGAAUCUUGCACAAUGGGGGAAACCCUGAUGCAGCGACGCCGCGUGAGCGAUGAAGCCCUUCGGGGUGUAAAGCUCUUUCGGCAGGGACGAUCAUGACGGUACCUGCAGAAGCAGCUGCGGCUAACUACGUGCCAGCAGCCGCGGUAAUACGUAGGCAGCGAGCGUUGUUCGGAGUUACUGGGCGUAAAGGGUGUGUAGGCGGUUGCUUAAGUUUGGUGUGAAAUCUCCCGGCUCAACUGGGAGGGUGCGCCGAAUACUGAGUGACUCGAGUGCGGGAGAGGAGAGUGGAAUUCCUGGUGUAGCGGUGAAAUGCGUAGAUAUCAGGAGGAACACCGGCGGUGUAGACGGCUCUCUGGACCGUAACUGACGCUGAGACACGAAAGCGUGGGUAGCAAACAGGAUUAGAUACCCUGGUAGUCCACGCCCUAAACGAUGCAUAUUUGGUGUGGGUCAUUCAGUUGAUCCGUGCCGGAGCUAACGCGUUAAAUAUGCCGCCUGGGGAGUACAGUCGCAAGGCUGAAACUCAAAGGAAUUGACAGGGGCCCGCACAAGCGGUGGAGCAUGUGGUUCAAUUCGACGCAACGCGAAGAACCUUACCUGGGCUCGAACGGCUGGUUACCGGCGU
rnacentral:rRNA from 1 species